rnacentral:rRNA from 1 species
CCUUUUGGUUAUAAAUAAUUGUUAGUGGCAGACGGGUGAGUAAUGCGUAGGAAUCUACCUAGUAGUAUGGAAUAGCCAUUAGAAAUGAUGGGUAAUACUGUAUAAUCCCUGCGGGGGAAAGAUUUAUCGCUAUUAGAUGAGCCUACGUUAGAUUAGCUAGUUGGUAAGGUAAUGGCUUACCAAGGCUAUGAUCUAUAGCUGGUCUGAGAGGACGAUCAGCCACACUGGAACUGAGAUACGGUCCAGACUCCUACGGGAGGCAGCAGUGGGGAAUAUUGGACAAUGGGCGAAAGCCUGAUCCAGCUAUGCCGCGUGAGUGAAGAAGGCCUUCGGGUUGUAAAACUCUUUCAAUAGGGAAGAUAAUGAC